UCUAAAUCCCUAAAAGUUCAGAAGUGGUAUUAUCAUUCGAAGUUUUUUUUAUGUGUGUGCUCGUUUCCGAUACAUUUAUAUUUUUUCGCUGAGUGUUUUCCAGCAUUACGUACACUCCGCGACAACGAUUCGUUUCGUGGUCCCUCUCGCGGGGCAAAGGGAGCGUAGCCUCUGACCAAUCAGCCACUGCCACGCUGCCAGCUAAUUCACGUCUACGCUUCCCUUGCCCCGUGAGAGAGGGGCCACGGAACGAAUCGUUGUCGCGCAGUAUACUCUAAGUAUACAGAGUCGCGAUUUAUGUGCUAAUUCAGACUUUUAGACUGAUAGUGCGCGAUAUUCAUUAAACAUUUUAUGAAUAUUAUCUAUAUCAAACAAUAACCAGUUGGGCACGUUGAUCUAACGAGUUAGCUCACCGUUGUGAUCACGUGAUACGAGAGUGUAACCGCCAUUGUGGUUACGUGAUAUAACAGUAUUCCUGCCUUUAUGUGCACGUGAUACGGGAGUGCCCACCAUUUAUGAGUACGUGAUAAGACAGUAUUCCAGCCUUUGUGUGCACGUAAAACUAAAAAAAAAUAAUAAUAAAUAUCAGUUAAAAAUAAUGGAUCGACACCGUUUGGAAAAUCUUUCCUUUCCGAAAUUGCAAGAAGAGGCGUUAUUUUAUGGACUUUCAGUAGAUGACAAUCGUAACAAGUGCAUUGACAUGAUUAUGACCUUCUUGGAAAGGUCUGCACCUCCUUUGGAUUAUUAUGGUGGAAAAACAGUUGAAGGAGAAAUUAACGCAACCGGUCCUUGAGCAACUCAAUCUUUACUUAAGUUCUUCAUAAAUUACGGAGGAUUUUACAACAGCUUCAUAUAGUGCUGCCAAAAUUUUAGUCAAUCAGAUCCCAUAUUUCAAUGAAUCAGACGAAGAGGAUAUUGAGUUAUGGCUUGAAAAAUUGGAAAGUCUGGCUCAAAUUAAUGGAUCAUCCCAUAAUGUUAUUUUGGCAGCAGCCAUAAUAAAAUUGGCAAAAACAGCACGUAAGUAGUUUGAUCGAGUUUCUGGAUUUGCUAAUACUUCUUGGCUAGAUUUCAGAAAAGCACUGCUCAGUCGUUUUAAAAGGGACAUCUUAUACACUAUGAAGAUAUAGAAAAUUGAACUUCGCAAAUGGCUUUUCUAUAAAGAAUCCUUUUCAGAGUACACUACUGAUAAAAUAACCUUAAUGAAAUCUUUAAGAUUGUUAGAUCAAGACGCAAUUCACCUACUUAUCAAUGAAAUCUCCAGUUUAUCUAUCAGAGCAGCAGCAGCGUCACUGCCUAAAAAUUCACUGGAUGAAUUUCUGAGGAAGAUGCAAUAUAUCACUUUUUCAUGCAAUCUCAAGAAAUCUUCACCUACGUUCAUAUGCAGAAACAAUCCUGCAUAAGGAUACUUCAUUAGGAAGAUCAGAUUCCCAGAAUAAAUCUACUGAAGAUACCUUCUGCUCUUAUUGUCGUGGCAGAAAUCAUACAAAAGAAAAGUGUUUUAAACUCAAGAAAAAAGAAAGGAUGUCAAGAAGUCCACAGCCUUGCGCAAUCUUCUAUUCUUCCAGUGGCAGCGAUCAGUGACUCAAUAGCUACAUCUUCAGUCACGAUAGCUUGCGUAGACUCUACUAACGAUUAAAGACAUGUCUUUACGUUACGAUUUUUUCUGUGCGUUGACUGAAGUUUAAGUUUACGUACGGAAUUAAAUUUACUAUUGAUACUUAACGUAACGUAAUGCGAUACGGAACACCUUGUACGGAACACCUAACGUAUAGAAAUACUACACCACGGUGACCAUAGUGCUACGAUAUUAACUAAAAAUCAAUUCAUACGACAGCUAAAUCCUUUUAUAAGAAAAAUGGACCGAAGAUAUCAGUUGAUAUUGAAGAUGAUGAAACCAACAAAAUUUAUACAAUAUUAGUAACAGUAGAAGAAGCCAAACGUUUAGAAACUGGUAAGAUUAUUAUUAAUAUUU